AAUUUGCUUUGGUUACGUUGGUGCAAAUCAAACAGUAUAAUAACAAAAGAAUAGAUAAAAACGUUAGAUAUGGUCGAAUAGCACAAAGAGUUCAGGAGAUAUGAUUUUUUUUGUAAUAUAAGCCCUGCCCACAACAUUUGAGCUAACCUUGAGGCCCAGCUAUAGCAAAGCUGUAUGGAACAUCAACAAUCCACAAAGAUAACUAUACUUCCGGCUUGGUGGCUUAUAUAGAUAUAUUCGUCUGGACCCACAAAAUCCAGGAAUUUUUGUUUUUUAUUCUGAGGUUCAUAAGUUACAGACCAAAACAUAAAGUUUAUUUUUAUAGCGCCACAUCUGGCCAAAUUGCACCGUAUUCCCAGCAGUAGUGUGAAGUCGGUCAGAUGAGUUCUCAAGAUAUAUAAAGGACAUAUGGUUUCAGAUUGGGUUAGUUUGUUUUUUUCUGUAGCUAUUGUCUUUUUUGUAUUUAAAUAACAAAUGUUCUUUUGCUAGUAUUGUAGUUUCAUUGGGUACAUGGUCUAAUGCUCAAGGAUACAUUUCUUAAAUACAAUUUAUGAAAAAGUAUUAAUCCAACUCCUCUCAUACGUCACUGUGUCUUUGACAUACAAACUGAGGUGUCGGGGACGUUUGCUCGAUGAAACAGCCACACAGACGGCAGGUCUGUUGUUUGCAGGUGUAACUGAGUGUUUUUAUAUGAGCACAAGUGCAUGUAUACAGCUGGCCUCAGCACAGAUCCGGCUCUAGACGCUCGCCAUAAGCACGGGGUGGAAUAAAAGAGAUCUUGAUUGUGAGCACUGAUGCAAAACACACUCCUUUAUCUUGUGUUUGGAUCCAGUCUUUUGAGUCUAUUUCUCGCACUACAGAUCAUUUUGAUUAAGAAGAGAUUAAGAAAAUAAUGUGAUGGUUGUGAGGUUCAGUUAGAGAUUGUAAAGAUGUGUUUAUGAGUUAUACUACCAGGGAGGAAGUCAAAAUCCAAAGAAUUUACAUCAAAUUAAAUGAUGUGAUAAUGACAUACACUAUAUGAAUAAUUUAUAUAUAGUAUAUGUGCAUGUAAGUGUGUGAGCUGCUCUUGUUUACAGUCUUCACCGCGGAUGGAAAUGUGCCUUUGAUUAACUUUCAGCCCUUUGGUCUUAUACAGGCUGUAGGAGGAUAGAUCUAACGUACUGUACACACAUGCACACAUGUGCACACCCAUAAAUCUGUUAUUAUCAGUAAAAUCUAUGCAUGCGGCAUUGUGCUGUUCAGUGUUUUUGAGCCCAGCUUUUGCUACUGCGUUUGAAGAAAGUUUCCCUUUAUAAUACAGUUCAAAGCAGUAAUUUGAGGGUCUCUACCGAUAGCGUAAGGUAGGCCUGUUAUAUGUAACUAUUAAUUAACAGGGUCUGCUGUCAGCAAUUGCCACCCACGUAUCGCUUUACAUUAAAUACAGAGGGAGAGACAAAGGCUGAGCAGGAUGUCGUAUUGUUUGGAGGCAACAGUGUGACAUCUGCAGGAGAGGAUUAGAGAGAUAAAGAUAGCAAGGGCUUGUUGGUGUAUGUGUGUGUGUGUGUGUGUGUGUGUGUGUGUGUGUGUGUGUGUGAUGGCCGCGGUGCUGUGGGCUGUAAUAGAGAGGAGAGAGCAUUAGGCACACUCAACACUGAGGCAGCAGGAACUUGCAGCAGAACUCCACAGAGUCCUCUCCAUCUGUAAUCAGUGGAGUGAAAGGGGAGUCACACCUUCUUAUUCCUCCACACAAACAAUCCCUGCUUCCCUCCCGCCUCGCCUCUCCCAUGCAUAGACUGCCAGGAAAGAUGCACACAUCUGUCUUCUGUGACGUCAUUCAAAAAUGACUCGUGAGCAGUAUCGCCAACGCUACGCCUCCCAAACUGUGAACAUUUAACAAUAAGCCUGCCACUUUAAACUCCUCUAUGCACUUCCCAUCCCACCUCUUCUUCUCAUCUAACUCUUCACCACUUGCUGAGUCUGGUAUGACCAGAAAUGGCUCUCAGUAAUAUUACCUGCUGUCUGUCCUCCCCCUGUCUCUCCGUCCGUCCGCUGGUCUCAGCAGGGUUUUCUCUAUUAAGGGAUUCAUCGCUGAUGAACCGAUGGUUGUCCCCCAGCCCCCUUAAGGAGCCAAUUCAUGAAUAAAUGAAUAGAACUG